UUGUUGAAGAGAUGACUGUUAUCAUGUCCAAUUGAAACAGUUCCCAUUUGUUUCUCUUUUAGGGAGCGCCAGGAGGUAGAAGGACGGGACGCCAGGACAAGCAGGGAGGUGGAAGGAUGGGCAUGAAUGGCCCCAGUGGAAAGCAGGGCACGAAUAGCGACAAUGGAGGUGAAGAGAUGGACGAUGAGAACUCCAGAAAAUAGAGAAGCUGAAAUGACGGAAGUUGCAGAAAUUAUGGAAAUAACUGAAUAUCCUGGGAAAGGUCCAACAGCUUUCCCCAUAUCUGCAAAAUGAACAACAUUGUUCUGUUCAAGGACAUCCAAUGAUCCGGCCUACUCAGCACUUGAUGGUGACGGGAGCAAUAGAUAUAGUAUAUAGCUUGAUGCUAGUUUGUUUCCUGUAAUAGAAUAGUUUGUUGCCCUUGAUGUGAGAAAAAAAAACCUUUGUGAAAAUAAAAAGAAAUAAACCCCAAUU